GGAGAGUGGGAGGAAGGGCGGUUUAUGGUAGUCCUGGAGCAAUACUAACGAAAAGUAGAAAAAGGUAUUUAACUGCAUCCAGAAGGGAGCAUCACGUCCACAAACAGAACAAGCUCAAUAGUGAGAAAGGCACUUUGGAAAGGUGCCUGUAUUUGUCAGUUUUCAGAUCUAUUGAGAGCAGGUAAAUGUGGCUGUUUAAAUCCACAUGUUCUUCCAAGACAGAAGAGUAAUCAAUCAAUUCAUGCUUGGUGGUUAAUGUUGAAAUGGAACUCCUUGUGAAGAAGAUACAUGGCUGCCAAGAAACUAGAGAUUUCAUGCAAAAGUCUUCAAUGCUUUGGCCACAGACUGCAUCUCACAAACGGUGAGUAUUCAGAUAAAAACAAUGUAUAUUGCAAAGUUUUAGAAGUUAUAAUGAAAUUAUUCAACUAUUAUAAAUGUAGGAUUAUAAAAUCUCAUUAAUUAAACCAGGCAUUUCACAUCAACCUGGAAAGAUGUUGAUGUAGUUGAAUCCAUGAAUAAGUCUCUAAGCUCUCAAGAAUUCACUAUUUGGUAUUUUAGUUUAACUAGGAAAAGAAAAUCCAAGCACAUUUCUCCAGUUUUUAUGUCACUACAUUGGUUACCUGUGC